rnacentral:rRNA from 1 species
UACAGAGGUCCCAAGCGUUGUUCGGAUUCACUGGGCGUAAAGGGUGCGUAGGUGGCGAGGUAAGUCGGAUGUGAAAGCUCGGAGCUCAACUCCGAAAUGGCAUUGGAAACUACCUUGCUCGAGGGUUGGAAGGGGGACUGGAAUUCUCGGUGUAGCAGUGAAAUGCGUAGAUAUCGGGAGGAACACCAGUGGCGAAGGCGGCUACCUGGCCCACUCUUGACGCUGAGGCGCGAAAGCUAGGGGAGCAAACGGG